rnacentral:rRNA from 1 species
UACAGAGGUCUCGAGCGUUGUUCGGAUUCAUUGGGCGUAAAGGGCGCGUAGGCGGCGGGGUAAGUCUGGUGUGAAAUCUCGGAGCUCAACUCCGAAAUUGCACUGGAUACUGCUCUGCUAGAGGGCUGGAGAGGAGAUCGGAAUUCACGGUGGUAGCAGUGAAAUGCGUAGAUAUCGUGAGGAAGACCAGUGGCGAAGGCGGAUCUCUGGACAGCUCCUGACGCUGAGGCGCGAAGGCUAGGGGAGCAAAGCGGG